GCUCAACUGAACAUCAGUGGUCUGGUGUGCAGGCUUCAAACCUGUAGUCGGUUAACGCCGAAGUGGUUCGAUUCCACCUGUUGAGCG